AUUCAAAUAUCUGCCCUAUCAACUUUCGAUGGUAGGAUAGAGGCUACCAUGGUGGUUCAACGGGUAACGGGGAAUAAGGGUUCGAUUCCGGAGAGGGAGCUGAGAAACGGCUACCACAUCCAAGGAAGGCAGCAGGCGGCGCAAAUUACCCAAUCCCGACACGGGGAGGUAGUGACAAUAAAUAACAAUAUAGG
rnacentral:rRNA from 1 species